UACGGAGGGGGCUAGCGUUGUUCGGAAUUACUGGGCGUAAAGCGUACGUAGGCGGCUUUGUAAGUUAGAGGUGAAAGCCCGGGGCUCAACUCCGGAACUGCCUUUAAGACUGCAUCGCUAGAACGUCGGAGAGGUGAGUGGAAUUCCGAGUGUAGAGGUGAAAUUCGUAGAUAUUCGGCGGAACACCAGUGGCGAAGGCGACUCACUGGCCCGAUACUGACGCUGAGGCGCGAAAGCGUGGGGAGCAAACAGG
rnacentral:rRNA from 1 species